UAUUAUUACUCAGCAGUAAAUAAAUUAUACCGGUAACGAUCGAUGGGCGAGUCGUCCUGAUCAGCCAGCGUUGAAAUUGUACUGACGAUACCGGCUGGCCGAGUCGUCCUGCCCAGCAUUGUAGGAGUGCGAGGAUAUCGGAAAGAGCUUCAGUAUUAUAGUGUAUGUACGAGCCGUGCGCUAUCACCCCUCGUGUACAACCUUAUAAUGUAGAUACCGUCUCGUGUGCACCGCAAAUACAUGAUAAAAGAUAACAUGGAAUUCAUCGCUGAGUGUCUAUUUCGGAUUUUCAUAAUAGCAUCCUUACUGUGGUACCAAGUCUACGCCGCCGACCCUAAAGACAGCAAAGUCAAUCAAGAAAGUUUUUUUUCCAUUGCCGCCAUAGCUGGUAUUGUGAUUGGGUCCUUAGUUGGCGCAAUUACUCUGAUAGCGGCCACGUGCUGUAUCGUCUGCUACUGUGUGGUGAAGCGGAAAGAGGAUUCCAACCUUGUUUGACCAAUAAGUGCUCGAAAGUUCACAAAGUGCCAUUGAAAGUCCAGUCGUCAUUGUUUCUAUGGCAACAAUGGCAAGCGCCAGAUUUAGAGAUUGUAAUAACAAUGUUUCAUUAAAUACAACCUGUUGGAAUUUGCCAAACGCCGAAAGCAGAAAACGGUUAUCUGAUUACUAAGACGACACACAACCGGAAGUUAACGAGAGCAGGGUCGGGCUACCGACAUGUUGUCAGUAUGAAAACGAGGCAUCGGAAACUGACGAGAUGCGGUUAUAGGAGACUCCGGUUCGUCACCGAUGGAGGUUUUCCCGUGGAAUAUUACGCACGUGCUGUUGGAACCAUAUUACCAAUGUUUCGUGCUUGUGCUGAAAGCUGAUUGAACCAAUCCAAUGGAUUUGUAGUAUUGUGAAAAGAUUACAAAUUUAAUAUUAUUGAUCUUGUGCGUUGUGAAUAUUAAGAAUCUACAAUCCCGUCAAUGUGAAAAUAAACUAAAACAAACUUCGCUGGCAUAUAAUCCAUGUGUGUGGUAUUAAAUGUGGUAAUUACAUGACACAAAAACAAUACGGGAAGGCGAUGGCGCCGGUGAUUGUGUAUGUACGUCCAAUGUGCAGAUGUCUAAUAUAUACUUAUAUGACUAUUCUGAAAGUGGAAGCAAGCUUAAAAUUGCAAUACAAUUCACGCACCGAAAAUGUAAUGUUCACUUAAUCAAUAAUACACUAGUUCUUCAUUUAUUUUUUGCUGAAUACUUAUGCAAACAUUUUGAAAUUGUGUCGACGUCCUUACGACAAGAUAAACGUUUUAUCAGUUUUGAUUAUAUUUCAACAAACAUCGUGUGCAUACCAAAUGCAGCGUGUUAUCAUCAUUCAUACCAUUCCUGGUACAGUUGGCAACCCAAAAUGUGUGCUAUUGUACAAUUAUAGCCUUCUUCUAAUGUCAAUAGGCGGAUUUAUUAACACGAGAAAAAUAUAUAACCGAUGACAAAAUCUUAGGUUUUUAUACUUAUUUUUCUCAUGGUAAUUAAUCCGCGUAUCUGUUCUGUGUGUAAUAUAGUACUGUUAUGUUGUAUGGAAGACAUUGAGUUACAAAACUUAAGUUGCAAAACUAUUUCAAAUUACAUACAAAGUAAAUUCUUAAUAGUUAUCAACAUAUCAGCUUCGAGUGAUAAAAAUGCCCCAAUUAACACAGUGGUAUGGGACAUUCGCUUAGUGAGGCAGUAAUGUAAACUUAGUUUGCGUUCAAAUGAUUGGAGGAGAUCGUCGUUAUAUCAUGGCAGACAUGUUUGGAUACGAUAAUAUCUUUUUUGAAGCGACAGCAAAUUGACUUGUUAAAAUCAAUUGGUUUUUUAAAUCAAUCAAAAAAACACAAUAAAAAAUAUAUAAUCUGCAGAAUAUAAUGACAGAAAAGAUGCAAUUAAAUGUAUUUAGUAUAAAACGGUCAAAGAAAAGCUUUUAUGCGUAACAUGAAUUGAUUUGAUUACUUGAUCUAAACAUUGAUAAAUAUAUUCGGUGGGUACUCUCCGUCUUCCAUACUUUUUCGUGUCGUUGUUUGUUAAUAUUUAAAUGAAACAUGAGGUCACAUACGUCAUUAUUUUAUGUGCACAAAUCUGUAAAUGUAGACACGGUGUUUUAGUUCGGUAUUAUAACAGUAUAUAGCUAAUGUAUCAAAUAAAAUGAUAACGAAUCAUU